GACGAACGCUGGCGGCGUGCUUAACACAUGCAAGUCGAACGGAAAGGCCCUGCUUUUGUGGGGUGCUCGAGUGGCGAACGGGUGAGUAACACGUGUGUAACCUGCCCUUGACUUUGGGAUAACUUCAGGAAACUGGGGCUAAUACCGGAUAGGAGCUCCUGCUGCAUGGUGGGGGUUGGAAAGUUUCGGCGGUUGGGGAUGGACUCGCGGCUUAUCAGCUUGUUGGUGGGGUAGUGGCUGACCAAGGAGUUGACGGGUAGCCGGCCUGAGAGGGUGACCGGCGACAAUGGGGCUGAGGUGCGGCCCAGAUUCCUACGGGAGGCAGCAGUGGGGAGUAUUGCACAAUGGGCGGAAGCCUGAUGCAGCAACGCCGCGUGCGGGAUGACGGCCUUCGGGUUGUAAACCGCUUUCGCCUGUAACGAAGCGUGAGUGACGGUAAUGGGUAAAGAAGCACCGGCUAACUACGUG
rnacentral:rRNA from 1 species